rnacentral:rRNA from 1 species
GACCUCAAAUCAGGUAAGAAUACCCGCUGAACUUAAGCAUAUCAAUAAGCGGAGGAAAAGAAAAUAACAAUGAUUCCCUCAGUAACGGCGAGCGAAGAGGGAUAAGCUCAAAUUUUAAAUCUGCUGGGUUUCACCUAACAGAGUUGUAUUUUGAAGAAACGUUUUCUGCGUCCCGGGUUAGCCUAAGUCCUUUGGGAUAAGGUAUCAUGGAGGGUGAGAAUCCCGUUCAUGGUUAAUCUUAAGGAUGCUCUACGAUACGUUUUCCAAGAGUCGAGUUGUUUGGGAUUGCAGCUCAAAAUGGGAGGUAAAUUUCUCCUAAGGCUAAAUAUUGGCGAGAGACCGAUAGCGAACAAGUACCGUGAGGGAAAGAUGAAAAGAACUUUGAAAAGAGAGUUAAACAGUACGUGAAAUUGUUGAAAGGGAAACGAUUGAAGUCAGUCAUACCAACGGGAAAUCAACCUUUUGAGCUUUGUCUCGUGGGUUCGAAGAGUUUAAACGCCUUCGGGUUCGCGAGAUUGGGAUCUUCUGGUGUACUUUCUCGUACGGUUAGUCAACAUCGGUUUUGAAUGUCAUAAAAUGACUGGAGGAAUGUAGCUUCGAUCUCGUAUCGAAGUGUUAUAGCCUUUGGUAGAUGUGAUGUUUGAGACCGAGGAUUGCAACGGAUACCCUUUAAGGGCUAUUCGUCUGAUCUCUGAUACGUUGCCUUGACGUUGAAAGCUUGCUUAUGAUGUUAGGGUAUUACGGUCAAAAGGUUAGAACGGAUUAAAUUCGUUAAGGAUGUUGACGUAAUGACUUUAAACGACCCGUCUUGAAACACGGACC